GCAUGUUAUUUUCACUAAUGCAUUGCCGUUGAAGUGGUUAUCCGCUCCCUUAGUGAAUUGAAGGUCACGCGUUCGAUUCCCUGGCGGACCUGGUGAGAUUUGAACCAGCAUCCCCAUGUAUCAGUAAGGCAAUAUUACCACUACACCAGAUAACAAUGUUGUACAUAUUUUUAAACUAUUUAAUAUAUAUUCUUCAAAUAUUUGACACCCCC
rnacentral:lncRNA from 1 species